rnacentral:tRNA from 1 species
UCCCCUGUAGCUCAAUGGUAGAGCGAGUCCCUGUUAAGGACGAGGUUGUAGGUUC